AACGUGCUGUCCAGGCCAUCCCGAAUUCAGCCCCUCCAAUUUGGGCCAAAAUACCCAAUUUGGGCUUUCACCGGGCUGGUUCCCCUUGGUUUGGCCUGCAGCCAAUCGAAUCCAGCUCCUGGAAGUGACAAGAGGCAUCGAACGACACCGCCCAACGCGAACCGCUCCUCUUCCUCUUUGUUCCGCCCUUGCUCGGGAUCGAUCUCUUGCUCGCCGUCGCCAGACUCCCGGCGCCUGUCCGCCCCGCCCGUCGCCCUCCUGCUCAGCGCUCGCCACUCCCUGCCGGCUACCAUUAAGGAUUAGGCGAACGGCGGGUCAGCGGCACACCUAAAUUCCGGCACGAUCGCUGCAACACCAUACAAGAACCAGCAGUUCAUCAAUAUUGUCGGCACUGCUGUCAGUGAGUGAAUUCACAAGAAGUGACCAGUUCACUGUUCAGGCACGAUCUAAAAAAUGAAGCACAAGCAGCUGAUUUGAAACGUUUGUGGGAUAAAGCUGCAAAGAAACCGAAGAUAGUUACUGAGGUUGGAAGCCAAAACCAAGAUGAAAAUGUGAGCAAUCCUCCUUCCAAUGAAAAUGUGAGUUAAAUAGCAUUUUUAUUGUUCUUCCAAUACAAUUUAUUUACUUGAGAGCUGAGACGUUGUCACUACUAUGAAGUAUCAAUAAUUUGUAAUUCCGUUCUUGUUAUUCUGAAGCUACAUAUAUUAAUUAUAUUGUUGUGUUGGAUUUUUUUUAAAACUUUGAAUACCCAAUAUAAAAAUCCUGGCUCCGCCACUGAU